rnacentral:tRNA from 1 species
UCGGGGAUCGGCUAACGGCAGGCCGCCUGGCUUUGAACCAGGCAGUGGUGGUUCGAGUCCAUCUCCCUGAG